ACCCGCACAAGCGGUGGAUGAUGUGGUUUAAUUCGAUGCAACGCGAAAACCUUACCCACCUUUGACAUGUACGGAAGUUGCCAGAGAUGGCUUCGUGCUCGAAAGAGAGCCGUAACACAGGUGCUGCAUGGCUGUCGUCAGCUCGUGUCGUGAGAUGUUGGGUUAAGUCCCGCAACGAGCGCAACCCUUAUCAUUAGUUGCUACGCAAGGGCACUCUAAUGAGACUGCCGGUGACAAACCGGAGGAAGGUGGGGAUGACGUCAAGUCCUCAUGGCCCUUAUGGGUAGGGCUUCACACGUCAUACAAUGGUCGGUACAGAGGGUUGCCAAGCCGCGAGGCGGAGCCAAUCCCACAAAGCCGAUCGUAGUCCGGAUUGUUCUCUGCAACUCGAGAGCAUGAAGUCGGAAUCGCUAGUAAUCGCAGGUCAGCAUACUGCGGUGAAUACGUUCCCGGGUCUU
rnacentral:rRNA from 1 species